AAACUCUUCUCCACUAUCCUAGCUUCCCUCAUCCGUGUAUGUCUUUUUCUGUUCUGCAUUCCUGGCUCCUCCGGGGCCAUUUGUCUGGUCUGCCUUUAUUCUCCAUCGUGACUCCCGAUGUUGCAUGGCCACUGAUGGAGCUUUUCCAGCUCAGCUCAACUGGGAAGUCACAGCCCCUCAUCACCACACUGUGGACAAGGAGAUGAGCAUCUGGUCUGUGGGACCAUGAGCAGUCGGAGGAAAUCCCGGCACUCGAGAGGUGCAGUCCAGCUGGGGAGCUGGGUGACCACAAACACAAGGACAACUAAGGCUGUGGCUGCACGAGACACACAGGAUGGGAAGAGCUGCUCAGAUAUUUCAGGGAAGGAUCUACUGAGAAAGUGGCAAUGUGUUGCAUCCAGGACAGAAAGAACAUUUGCUCUGGGGGAGCACAGAUGAAUACCACAUUUCAGAUCCUUCCCCAAAAGGGGGAUAUAACCUAAUGGGCCUCAUGGACCGCUUAGGUAGGUGGAUAUGAGUCCUCCCUCCAGUG
rnacentral:lncRNA from 1 species